UACGGGGGGGGCAAGCGUUGUUCGGAAUUACUGGGCGUAAAGGGCUCGUAGGCGGCCAACUAAGUCCGACGUGAAAUCCCCAGGCUUAACCUGGGAACUGCGUCGGAUACUGGAUGGCUUGAAUCCGGGAGAGGGAUGCGGAAUUCCAGGUGUAGCGGUGAAAUGCGUAGAUAUCAGGAGGAACACCGAUUGCGAAGGCAGCUCGCUGGGACGUGACUGACGCUGAGACGCGAAAGCGUGGGGAGCAAAC
rnacentral:rRNA from 1 species